rnacentral:rRNA from 1 species
AGUGAACGCUGGCGGUAGGCCUAACACAUGCAAGUCGAACGGCAGCACAGAGGAGCUUGCUCCUUGGGUGGCGAGUGGCGGACGGGUGAGGAAUACAUCGGAAUCUACUCUGUCGUGGGGGAUAACGUAGGGAAACUUACGCUAAUCCCGCAUACGACCUACGGGUGAAAGCAGGGGAUCUUCGGACCUUGCGCGUUUGAAUGAGCCGAUGUCGGAUUAGCUAGUUGGCGGGGUAAAGGCCCACCAAGGCGACGAUCCGUAGCUGGUCUGAGAGGAUGAUCAGCCACACUGGAACUGAGACACGGUCCAGACUCCUACGGGAGGCAGCAGUGGGGAAUAUUGGACAAUGGGCGCAAGCCUGAUCCAGACAUACCGCGUGGGUGAAGAAGGCCUUCGGGUUGUAAAGCCCUUUUGUUGGGAAAGAAAUCCAUCUGGUUAAUACCCGGGUGGGAUGACGGUACCCAAAGAAUAAGCACCGGCUAACUUCGUGCCAGCAGCCGCCGUAA